rnacentral:rRNA from 1 species
GGGUUGUGAGGUUAAGCGACUAAGCGUACACGGUGGAUGCCCUGGCAGUCAGAGGCGAUGAAGGACGUGCUAAUCUGCGAUAAGCGUCGGUAAGGUGAUAUGAACCGUUAUAACCGGCGAUUUCCGAAUGGGGAAACCCAGUGUGUUUCGACACACUAUCAUUAACUGAAUCCAUAGGUUAAUGAGGCGAACCGGGGGAACUGAAACAUCUAAGUACCCCGAGGAAAAGAAAUCAACCGAGAUUCCCCCAGUAGCGGCGAGCGAACGGGGAGGAGCCCAGAGCCUGAAUCAGUGUGUGUGUUAGUGGAAGCGUCUGGAAAGGCGCGCGAUACAGGGUGACAGCCCCGUACACAAAAAUGCACAUACUGUGAGCUCGAUGAGUAGGGCGGGACACGUGGUAUCCUGUCUGAAUAUGGGGGGACCAUCCUCCAAGGCUAAAUACUCCUGACUGACCGAUAGUGAACCAGUACCGUGAGGGAAAGGCGAAAAGAACCCCGGCGAGGGGAGUGAAAAAGAACCUGAAACCGUGUACGUACAAGCAGUGGGAGCCUCUUUUAUGGGGUGACUGCGUACCUUUUGUAUAAUGGGUCAGCGACUUAUAUUCUGUAGCAAGGUUAACCGAAUAGGGGAGCCGAAGGGAAACCGAGUCUUAACUGGGCGUUAAGUUGCAGGGUAUAGACCCGAAACCCGGUGAUCUAGCCAUGGGCAGGUUGAAGGUUGGGUAACACUAACUGGAGGACCGAACCGACUAAUGUUGAAAAAUUAGCGGAUGACUUGUGGCUGGGGGUGAAAGGCCAAUCAAACCGGGAGAUAGCUGGUUCUCCCCGAAAGCUAUUUAGGUAGCGCCUCGUGAAUUCAUCUCCGGGGGUAGAGCACUGUUUCGGCAAGGGGGUCAUCCCGACUUACCAACCCGAUGCAAACUGCGAAUACCGGAGAAUGUUAUCACGGGAGACACACGGCGGGUGCUAACGUCCGUCGUGAAGAGGGAAACAACCCAGACCGCCAGCUAAGGUCCCAAAGUCAUGGUUAAGUGGGAAACGAUGUGGGAAGGCCCAGACAGCCAGGAUGUUGGCUUAGAAGCAGCCAUCAUUUAAAGAAAGCGUAAUAGCUCACUGGUCGAGUCGGCCUGCGCGGAAGAUGUAACGGGGCUAAACCAUGCACCGAAGCUGCGGCAGCGACACUAUGUGUUGUUGGGUAGGGGAGCGUUCUGUAAGCCUGUGAAGGUGUACUGUGAGGUAUGCUGGAGGUAUCAGAAGUGCGAAUGCUGACAUAAGUAACGAUAAAGCGGGUGAAAAGCCCGCUCGCCGGAAGACCAAGGGUUCCUGUCCAACGUUAAUCGGGGCAGGGUGAGUCGACCCCUAAGGCGAGGCCGAAAGGCGUAGUCGAUGGGAAACAGGUUAAUAUUCCUGUACUUGGUGUUACUGCGAAGGGGGGACGGAGAAGGCUAUGUUGGCCGGGCGACGGUUGUCCCGGUUUAAGCGUGUAGGCUGGUUUUCCAGGCAAAUCCGGAAAAUCAAGGCUGAGGCGUGAUGACGAGGCACUACGGUGCUGAAGCAACAAAUGCCCUGCUUCCAGGAAAAGCCUCUAAGCAUCAGGUAACAUCAAAUCGUACCCCAAACCGACACAGGUGGUCAGGUAGAGAAUACCAAGGCGCUUGAGAGAACUCGGGUGAAGGAACUAGGCAAAAUGGUGCCGUAACUUCGGGAGAAGGCACGCUGAUAUGUAGGUGAAGUCCCUCGCGGAUGGAGCUGAAAUCAGUCGAAGAUACCAGCUGGCUGCAACUGUUUAUUAAAAACACAGCACUGUGCAAACACGAAAGUGGACGUAUACGGUGUGACGCCUGCCCGGUGCCGGAAGGUUAAUUGAUGGGGUCAGCGCAAGCGAAGCUCUUGAUCGAAGCCCCGGUAAACGGCGGCCGUAACUAUAACGGUCCUAAGGUAGCGAAAUUCCUUGUCGGGUAAGUUCCGACCUGCACGAAUGGCGUAAUGAUGGCCAGGCUGUCUCCACCCGAGACUCAGUGAAAUUGAACUCGCUGUGAAGAUGCAGUGUACCCGCGGCAAGACGGAAAGACCCCGUGAACCUUUACUAUAGCUUGACACUGAACAUUGAGCCUUGAUGUGUAGGAUAGGUGGGAGGCUU